GACUAGCUGGCUUGGUUCGUAGAGCACAGGACUCUUGAUCUUGGGGUCAUGAGUUCAAGCUUCAUGUUGGACA
rnacentral:tRNA from 1 species